AAUUUCAGCUUUGGGUGCUGACGGUGGGGG
rnacentral:piRNA from 1 species